CACUUAAAAUAAUCAUUUUUCCUCAACAUCGCCAUGUGAAGCCGUAACCAUGGCAACGCCCUUGUUUGUAGCAGAGUAAGUAUCUAUAAUAAUAAUAAUAUAGUUUAUUUCUAAGUUGCUUUCAGGGCACAUAAGGUCACCUCACAAAAAUAAAAAAUGAAAGAAAGAA